rnacentral:lncRNA from 1 species
ACAGUGGGUUAAGGAUCCAGCGUUGCCGCAGGCUGCUUUGGUCGGCUGGGAAUUCCAUGUGCCGUGAGGCGGCCAAAAAAAGCGGGAGGGGGAGGAGAUGGCUGCCCUUUCUACGUCAGUAAACCUAGGAGGGCUGCCUGAUCUUUUUUUCCCUGGUUCCUGAUACGUGAGAAGAAUUGUGGUGCCAGGGAGCCCUGUGGCUUUAAGCCUAAGCCCUGGCAGGGGAGGAGACUGGGAGGGCUGUGGAGGGUGCCCGCCUACCUGGGGAACCUGCGCGAGGUGUGGCCGGAGCGGCUCGGGAUGCGAGGUGGGCGGGGGCGGGCUGAAAGUUGGACAAGCAGGAAGUGAACUGACGGCCGCCCAGGAGGAAACCGACUUAGGCGAGUUCUGCUGCCGCCAGGCCCCAGCCGCUCGGAGACAUGGAGGAGGCCAGUGGCGGUGGAGGGGAUGACCGCGUGCGGAACCUGCGGAGUGAAGUGGAGGGAGUCAAGAAUAUUAUGACCCAGAAUGUGGAGCGGAUCCUGGCCCGGGGAGAAAACUUGGACCAUCUCCGCAACAAGACAGAGGAUCUGGAAGCCACAUCUGAGCACUUCAAGACCACGUCCCAGAAGGUGGCUCGGAAGUUCUGGUGGAAGAACGUGAAGAUGAUCGUCAUCAUCUGCGUGAUCGUCUUUAUCAUCAUCCUCUUCAUCGUGCUCUUUGCCACCAACGUCAUCCCUUAAAAUAACUUAGGGAACCCCUUCCACCCUGCCCUCCUCUUCAGGGCAACCUUCCAUAGUGGGUGCCGAGAGGGGCCCUCUCUCCCAUGCUCCUCCACAAAGAAUGCUGCUCGAGCCUCCUGCCUCUCACUCUGAGACCCCCGCGCUGUCUGCCCCCGCGAGUACCUUGGUCCCUGGAAGGAGAGAGCCAGACUGUGGCUGUGUCUCAGGGGGCCUCAGAGGUGGUUGGAGAGACAGACCCAGAGGGCCCAGCAUGUGGCUGGGAAGCUGAUGGAACUGACGGUGGCCAGUGGGCAAUAAAGACCUUUCUGUAUCCCUACGCGUGUGAGGUCCUUUCUCCCUUUCCGUUUGGACCUUCUAUUUCUUUUUCUUUUUAGUCUUCUUAGGGCCACACCCACCAUAUAUGGAAGUUCCCAGGCUAGGGGUCGAAUUGGAGCUGCAGCUGCCAGCCUACACCACAGCCACUGCAACUCAGGAUCCGAGCCGGUCUGCAACCUGCACCACAGCUCAAUAGCAACACUCAGUCAGUCCUUAACCCACUGAGCAAGGCCAGGAUCGAAUCUAUAUCCUCAUGGAUACUAGUUGGGUUCUUAAUCUGCUGAGCCACAGCGGGAACUCCUGGCCCUUCUAUUGCUUUUCUCUCUGAAGACCCUCUGGCAGAGUCUCCCAUUGGAGGGCCAAGUUAUUGGAGGGGCGGAGAGCAUAUAUUUGAAGGAGAAAAGUGGAAAUGCCUUGUCUUUCUUGUUUGUUUUGUUUUGUUGUUUUGGCGACCCCUGCAGCAUAUGGAGUUCCUGGGCCAGAGAAUGCCAGAUCCAACCUGUAUCCUGGGGCUGCAGAGAUGCUGCCAAUCCCACUGCUCCACAGAGGGAACUCCUCCCUGACUUUCUUUAUCUCUCCUUUCUCCAUCACUGUCACUUGUCUCAAGAAGAGGAAUUUUCUGGAGGUCUCAGCAUACAGAAAAUUCAAAACCUCCCCCAACAUUUUAGGGUGGUAUGUAAGACUCCCAGUGGCCCUCUCUUGCCAUUUCCUUUGUUACUUUUCUGCGGGAAGUGUUAGCUGAGAUGGGAAACCUACCUGGGCUGACCCUUUCGUCUGGUUAAGGGCCUCCUGCCCCUCCCAUCAGUGCUCUUUCUCUUCCAUGGCCCUAUUGUACUCUAGAGGUGGGAGGUGGGGUGCAGGGGUGUUGGAGGAACUGAACUGCUUUUCCGUCUCCUGUGGUUCUGCAAGUUCCAUUUGUCUUUUGUCUGCCCCUGCCCUCCUGGAGCUUAGCAGGGCCUCUGGGUCUCAGCUGUCCUGAGGGGGCAAGCAUCUCACGCGUGUCCCGUGGCCGGGCACAGUCAGUGUCACAGGACAGGGCCUAUGGCCUUCCUUCCCCUCGACGGACAAUGGGCCUCUCUGUCUUUGGGCCUCCCUCCUCCCUACCAGGUUCCAUCGUCAUUGUCACUCUUUCCGGUACCCAGUCUGCCUUGGUUUGAGGGAAGGGUUUUCAUCAUCUCUGUCCUUGUUUCCCCCAUAGGUGUUCCACAAUUGAACCUGUUUGGGGGAGGGAGUCCAGAAGGGCAGGGGUGGGAGACAGGAUUUGAGACUUAGUACUGGCAAGUUGGGUUCUAGAAUCAUGCUCUGAAAACUAGGAAGGGAGGAAAGCACAGAUGAGACCCCCACCCCAGUCUUUUUUUUUUUUUUUUUUUUCUUUUUUUUUAAGGCUGCAUCUGCAGCAUAUGGGAGUUUCCAGGCUAGGGGCUGAAUUGGAGCUGGAGCUGGACCUGCUGGCCUACGUCACAGCCACAGCCACGCAGGAUCCAAGCCAUGUCUGAGACCUACACCACAGUCCACGGCAACGCCAGAUACUUAACCCACUGAGGGAGGCCAGGGAUUGAACCUGCAUUAUCAUGGAUACUAGUCGGGUUCUUAACCUGCUGAACCACAACGGGAACUCCUUGCUGUGAUCUUUGUCACAACCAUGUCCAUCCCCUGUCCUCAGUCCACUCCUGGACUGGAGCUCCGAGCAGCCUCAGCCGUUGCAACCCAGACUCACCGUCCUGGGUGGGGGUGGGGUCUUUGUUCACUGGGAUUCAUCCAGGGAGAGGGAACUUUAAGCCUCCUUCCUUAAAAGGGGCCACCUCUGAGAUGUUGGGGGUGGCAAGGGGUGCGGUGGAGAAGAGGUGGCAGGUGGCUUCCCUGAAGCACUGAAAGGAGAGGCUGAGGAUGGACGGAUCCAGCUCAAGAAGGCUCUGGAAGGACUGGACACACCAACCUCCCUCAUCCUCCCAUUGAGGAACAGGGGCAUAUUAGGGCAGGGUUGCACUUAGCACGUGGUGAAAGGGAAGUAAAGAAAAAGCUAGAACUAGGGUUGGGGAAGGGGCUCUCUGUUUUCUCUUUUGAUUGAGGUGAAAUUCACAAAACAUACAAUCGACUGUUUUAUAAUGUACAAUCCAGUGGCAGGUAGUGUAUUAAUACCAUUUAUUGUGAAUAAAAUUUAUUUGGUUU